rnacentral:misc_RNA from 1 species
AAGUCGUAACAAGGUUUCCGUAGGUGAACCUGCGGAAGGAUCAUUACAACAAGGCCACGGGCCCCCCAAGCUUCGGCGGAAAGGGGUACCGGCCUGACUUAUAUACCCACCCUUUGCCUAUACGUACCUCUAUCGCUUCCUCGGCAGGCUCGCCUGCCGCUAGGAACCAACCAAACCCUUUGCAUUAUACAUUAACACUUCUGAUACAAACCAAAACUAUUACAACUUUUAACAAUGGAUCUCUUGGUUCUG